rnacentral:lncRNA from 1 species
CCGGGGCCCACGGGGAAGGAAGGGGGAAGGGAUCGAGGUUGGAGAGGCUGCGGCGCGUGGCCUGAGGCGGAGAGUCGGGCUGCGGGGGUCCGGGCCAGGCCCGGCGCCGGCAUGACCCGCCUCGCCAGCAAGAGCAGGCCGGGCUUCCUCCUCCCUUGGCGGGCGGGGGAGGGGAAGGGGGCUCACGGCCAGGGGGAAGGUGGAAAAGGUGGUCCUGAUUCUCCCUGUGCCACAGCCACAAAGCUGAUCCUGGCCUCCUGCGGAGGAGCCUGAGCGCCUUCCCGCAGACCUGACGCGACCCCUCCCCAGGUACCUGGGCCUCGGCCUGGUCUAGCGAGUCCCCUUCCUCCCAAGGAGCAGCCAGCGGAGCUCGGGUGGAGGAAAGCGAGGAGGCGACCAGGAGGCUGCCGCCGCCGCCGCCGCUGCAGGGCCCGGGGCUUCUGUAGGGCACAAGGCCUCCCUCACCAGGGUAAGGGACUGGCGAUCAACCUGGACGCCUAGGACCCUGGGAGCAAGCAUCCCGCAAUCGAGCAGGCGACGGCGCGGCCACCGCCUGGAGAGGAGCCGGGGCCCGAGGCGGCGUGCGGGGCGGUGGCAGCCGGCUUGGCCUACCCGAAACCCCAGGCCUGGAAGCGGCUGCUUUAGGCGUCAAGUUGAGCCGGGGGGAGACAGCGUGCCUCGGGCCGCCCGGGGCGGUCAUUUGAGCGUGUUUACUUAAAGACUUUGCAAGCAGAGCGCGCGCGAAAUCGUCGGAUUUCCAGCAAGGCAGCAAAUAUUUGCAGGCAGGAGAAAGAAGCGGAGCCGAGCCGCGCCGCCGAGUCCCUCCCCCCUGAGCCCCGGCGCCGGCCUGGGCGGACCCGGCCGCGCAGUUAAAGACAGAAAAGAAACCGGGAAUCUGCGAGGCUUAGGGGGCGGGGAGCGACACGAAAGGCCAGAAACUGCAGCACGGCCCGAGGCCCUGGCGAGCCGGGCCUGGGGGAGGAGAAGUCCCUUCCCAUUCCAGCUCGAUCAAUCUUGCUGGGCUGCGAUCGGUCAAUAAAAACAGUGUGAAGCGGCCGCUGUCGCUGAGUCUGAGGAGGAAGUGGAGGCCAAAGGUGUCGAGGCCGGCGCCAGCGCCCAGCACCAGCCAGGUCCGCGGCCCCGCGGUCUGCACGCCGUAGGCCGGGGGCCAGAGCUUUGCCGGGAGCAGAGCACCGCCCGGCGGGGCCUUUAAUUGGGUGUCUCCAUUUUAAUAGAGGCCAUUGUUCGAGCAAUUAGCGAAAGACAAUAACCGCCCAGAGGCGUUUAAUUCGAUUCCCUGCGCCGGCCGCAGUCCGCACCGGGGCGCUCUGGAAGAGUGGCCGAGGCUGCGCGGA